rnacentral:rRNA from 1 species
GACGAACGCUGGCGGCGUGCUUAACACAUGCAAGUCGAACGGAAAGGCCCUGCUUUUGUGGGGUGCUCGAGUGGCGAACGGGUGAGUAACACGUGAGUAACCUGCCCUUGACUUUGGGAUAACUUCAGGAAACUGGGGCUAAUACCGGAUAGGAGCUCCUGCUGCAUGGUGGGGGUGGGAAAGUUUCGGCGGUUGGGGAUGGACUCGCGGCUUAUCAGCUUGUUGGUGGGGUAGUGGCUUACCAAGUCUUUGACGGGUAGCCGGCCUGAGAGGGUGACCGGGGUCCAUGCGACUAAGGGAGGGAGCAGUCUGGAAUGGUAGGCAACAGGGGCAAAUAUUGCACAGUGGGCGCGAGUGUGAGACGAAGGCGCUGGGUUCGUAAAGACCUCUUUUGGGGUAAGAACAGCUGUCGCCUGAGACGAAGCGGGAGUGACGGUAACGAAUAAAGAAGCACCGGCUAACUACGUG